AGAUUAAGUUAUUAAGGGCGCACGGUGGAUGCCUUGGCACUAGAAGCCGACGAAGGACGUUACUAACGAC
rnacentral:rRNA from 2 species